GCCGGGGUGGCGGAACAGGCAGACGCACGGGACUUAAAAUCCCGCGGUAGCGAUACCGUACCGGUUCGAUUCCGGUCCCCGGCACCA
rnacentral:tRNA from 1 species